rnacentral:sRNA from 1 species
ACACCCGUUUUAUUGAUGUUAUGGGUUGCGACCGAGAUUAGCCUUGUUCGAUUUUUUACACAAUAGGCCUGUAAAAAAUUAAACACACCGCCCACAACGGCAGGCUCAAGGACGCAGGGCCAGCAGUUAAAUUGCCUUGAAAAGCCCUAAAAGUGGCCACGAAGCCCCUUUUUAGGGCAC